rnacentral:rRNA from 1 species
UACAGAGGGUGCGAGCGUUAAUCGGAGUUACUGGGCGUAAAGGGCGCGUAGGCGGAUUGGUAAGUGAGAUGUGAAAUCCCUGGGCUUAACCUAGGAAUUGCAUUUUAGACUAUUGAUCUGGAGUACAUUAGAGGGUGGUGGAAUUUCCGGUGUAGCGGUGAAAUGCGUAGAGAUCGGAAGGAACAUCAGUGGCGAAGGCGACCACCUGGACUGUAACUGACGCUGAGGCGCGAAAGCGUGGGUAGCAAACAGG